rnacentral:misc_RNA from 1 species
AACGCACAUUGCGCCCCCUGGUAUUCCGGGGGGCAUGCCUGUUCGAGCGUCAUUUCACCACUCAAGCCUCGCUUGGUAUUGGGCAACGCGGUCCGCCGCGUGCCUCAAAUCGUCCGGCUGGGUCUUCUGUCCCCUAAGCGUUGUGGUAACCUAUCCGCUUGCGAGUCGGGGGGCGUCUGGCCGUUAAACUCAUUCAAAGGUUGACCUCGGAUCAGGUAGGGGUACCCGCUGAACUUAA